rnacentral:rRNA from 1 species
UGGCGGCAUGCCUUACACAUGCAAGUCGAACGGCAGCACGGGAGCUUGCUCCUGGUGGCGAGUGGCGAACGGGUGAGUAAUACAUCGGAACGUACCCUGAAGUGGGGGAUAACGUAGCGAAAGUUACGCUAAUACCGCAUAUUCUGUGAGCAGGAAAGAGGGGGAUCGCAAGACCUCUUGCUUUAGGAGCGGCCGAUGUCGGAUUAGCUAGUUGGUGAGGUAAAGGCUCACCAAGGCGACGAUCCGUAGCGGGUCUGAGAGGAUGAUCCGCCACACUGGGACUGAGACACGGCCCAGACUCCUACGGGAGGCAGCAGUGGGGAAUUUUGGACAAUGGGCGCGAGCCUGAUCCAGCCAUGCCGCGUGAGUGAAGAAGGCCUUCGGGUUGUAAAGCUCUUUCGGUGGGGAAGAAAUUGCUUCGGUUAAUACCUGGAGUAGAUGACGGUACCCGCAUAAGAAGCACCGGCUAACUACGUG